rnacentral:rRNA from 1 species
UACGGGGGGGGGCAAGCGUUGUUCGGAAUUACUGGGCGUAAAGGGCUCGUAGGCGGCCAACUAAGUCAGACGUGAAAUCCCUCGGCUUAACCGAGGAACUGCCUGCCAGACUGGAUGGCUCGAGACCGGGAGAGGUGAGUGGAAUUCCCAGUGUAGCGGUGAAAUGCGUAGAUAUUGGGAGGAACACCAGUGGCGAAGGCGGCUCACUGGACCGGUACUGACGCUGAGGCGCGAAAGCGUGGGGAGCAAACAGG